UGCGGCCCGAUCACCCCGGCGACGGCCAGCGGUAACAAGUGCUUCCUGUUGAUAGUUGAUGAUUUCAGCAGAUACAUGUGGCUUGAGAGGAACACGACGACGCCGUACUCUCCUCAGCAGAAUGGAGUGGUCGAACGAAGGAAUCAGACCGUCGUGGAGAUGGCGCGCAGCCUCAUGAAGGCCAUGGGCGUGCCGUGCGCGUUCUGGGGCGAGGCUGUGCACACCGCCGUCCACAUCCUCAACCAGUCGCCGACCAGAAGCCUGCAGGGCAUUACUCCUUAUGAAGCGUGGCGCAAGAAGAAACCGGCAGUGGACUACUUCCGCACCUUCGGAUGCGUCGCGCAUGUCAAGCUCGUCGGACCCGGGGUGACCAAGCUGGCGGACAGAUCGCACCCUGGCAUCUUCCUGGGGUACGAGCCAGGGACGAAGGGCUAUCGGGUGUACGACCCGGUCGGCAAGCGUCUAUACAUCACACGCGAUGUGCGCUUCGAGGAGGAGCGGCGCUUGGACUGGAGCAAGGACAACGGGGACUCGGCGCACGCCCGCGAGUGGUGGGGUCACCGCGAACACCUUCAACGCCAGCUACGCCAAGCACACCAGCCUUACCACAAUCUCCAUGGACGCCCAUGGCCGGCGACUCGGGCAUGGGCGCGUCGAGCGCGUCGAGCACGCCCGCAUCGGCAAGUAUCAGUCCGUCUACGCCAACACCGAAAUUCUACGACCCGGAGGACGGGUGGGUGA
rnacentral:rRNA from 1 species